CAGAUGAGGUAGACAAAAUUCACACACACACACACACACACACACACACACACACACACACACACACACACACACACACACACACACACACCAUCACUAUGACCACCGCCACCACUUGUUACUGAAGAAUGUGUCGAUUGUGUCUUUAUCUCCUUUUUUAUCAACUGUAUAGCACUCUAUCUCUAGUACAGUGCAAAUUUGUAAAUAUGUGAGUAUUAUAGAAUAAAUAUUCAAUUUUUGAUCAGGAAGUCGUUGAGUGCUGGAAAUGUAGCAUAGUCAUGUUUUAAUGUUAUUGCAUGUUUAGACUAUUUGUACACAAAUUCAAAUCGAAACAAUAGACAGUGGUAUCAUUUGAUAAUUACAAUUUUUCUUACAACUUGUUAAUCAUUCAUGGUAUCACUUCAUUACAUAUUGAAUACAGCAACAUCAGUGGUGUGCUUACUGCUUUCAAUAUAAGGUAGACUUUCUUUCUGUCUCGUAGAAUGAAUCGUAGCUAAUAAUCGUCUUCUUCUCUAUACAUGUAUCUAUACAAGUCUGAUCUGUCUGUCUGUCUGAUCUGUCUGUCUGUCUGUCUGUUGGUUGGUCUGUCGGUCGGUCGGUCAGUCGGUGUGUUGGUAACAUCAAUCACGUCAAAACUGCCGGGCCAAUCGCCAAGGAACCUUGCACGAAGACUGCGUUCCACACCACAAUGCAAACGCAUGCUUCGGUGUUUAGACGGUUCCCUCUCGAGGAGUCGACCCCCAAGUGAAAUCUCGUGAUGACGUGACGACGGUGUACGUACUCUCUACUAGCAGACGGAAGUGGUCAUCAAGAAGGCAUGCUACACGCGGCCAUUGUUUCUCAUAGCUAAACGCACUCAAUACUUCACUAUCGAUCUGAAGCUGGUUCUGAAUGCAAGCUAAUCAGGAUCGAAGCUCCGGGUGUGGAAAGCAUUGAGACGAAGCCAGACUAUAAGCGGUCGACUGUCGGUCACUGGGCAAUAGAAGUAAGUGGACUCAAGGAAAGGGAUGAUGAUGUAAUGUUUGUCAGAGAUCUAGAAAAGCAGGCAGUGGAUGGCAAUCCUCGUCUGAAGCCGGCAAUUCGAAAUGACCGAGGUGGCAAAGCAAACAAACCAGAGCCUGAUGCUGACAGCUGCAGAUACGGGAACUUUUCUGAACUCUUUCAGAUUCCUCUCAAGUUCAAGAAACCACAAGUUCUGAAACUGGGUUCUGAAAACGGAGUCUUCUAUCUGCUAUUUGAAGAAGAAGAGGACGAGGACGGACAGCAAGCAAUAUAGGCAACAUGUGAAUGGAGUCGAACUUUAGACACGCAGGGUAGUUGGGAGUUGUGUUACAUGUAGUGUGUAAUGUGCUUUACCUUGGUCUGCAUUAUCAGUAGUAUGAUCAAUCUUGUAAUCAUUGUGUUAGCUGAUAUCGAGUCAUGAGUACUAGUGUUCUCAAUAGACU